rnacentral:SRP_RNA from 1 species
GGGAGGUUGGUCGCGGACGAAACAUUCGCCAACCCGGUCAGGUCCGGAAGGAAGCAGCCGUAACGAUUCGCUUUCGGGUCGCAAACUGAUCUCCCACU